rnacentral:rRNA from 1 species
CGCCUUUUGAUAUAAAUAUAAAAGGUCCAGCCUGCCCAGUGACAUUGUUCAACGGCCGCGGUAUCCUAACCGUGCGAAGGUAGCGUAAUCACUUGUUCUUUAAAUGAGGACUAGUAUGAAUGGCACCACGAGGGUUAUACUGUCUCCUUUCUCUAAUCAGUGAAACUAAUCCCCCCGUGAAGAAGCGAGGAUAAAUUUAUAAGACGAGAAGACCCUAUGGAGCUUUAAACUAAAUAACAAUUGCUACUUUAUAAUACCUAUUUUCAGAAAAUUAAACUCUUAUACUAGCAUAAUGAUUAUUAGUUUUAGGUUGGGGUGACCGCGGAGUAAAAAACAACCUCCACAUUGAAAGGACUAACUUCCUAAACUUAGAGCUACAUCUCCAAGUAUCAAAAAAUUGACACUAAUUGACCCAAUUUAUUGAUCAACGAACCAAGUUACCCUAGGGAUAACAGCGCAAUCUACUUCAAGAGCCCCUAUCGACAAGUAGGUUUACGACCUCGAUGUUGGAUCAGGGUAUCCUAGUGGUGCAGCCGCUACUAAAGGUUCGUUUGUUCAACGAUUAAAACCCU